rnacentral:rRNA from 1 species
UACGUAGGGUGCAAGCGUUAAUCGGAAUUACUGGGCGUAAAGCGUUCGCAGUCGGUUUUGUAAGUCUGUCGUGAAAGCCCCGGGCUCAACCUGGGAAUUGCGAUGGAGACUGCAAGGCUUGAAUCUGGCAGAGGGGGGUAGAAUUCCACGUGUAGCAGUGAAAUGCGUAGAGAUGUGGAGGAACACCGAUGGCGAAGGCAGCCCCCUGGGUCAAGAUUGACGCUCAUGCACGAAAGCGUGGGGAGCAAACAGG